UGUUAAUGAUGAUAUUGAUAUGGGCCUGAACUUCUAUGUUGUAAACAAAACGAGCUUUUUAAUACUGAUAUUAC